rnacentral:lncRNA from 1 species
ACUAAAAUUUUAUUCUUAAGAACUUCAUAUACCCUAGAUCAUAUUUAACGGUGUGGAUCAUUGAUUUGAACGCCCUAAGAUCGAAAACAACACUAUAGUACGGGAGCUUCCGUACUAUAGAUAGUAAAGUAGCCUAAUUCUAUAUAUAUAUAUAAGCACGUAUUUCAAAUUUGGGUCUAUCGACAGACUCAUUUUUUAGCGGGAAAAAUAUUGGUUCCUCUUUUCAUACAUAAAAUAAAUAACGUAAUGAAACAAACUUUUUAUUUCUGUUAAUCUCUAAAAUAAAAAAAUAUAUAUUUAUCCAAAUUUUUGCCAACCGAAAGAUAUCUACUGUGAAUCUAUAUUUUAAUUAAAAAAUUAUUUAAUUUUUUAUCUNAUAAUUAUACAUAUAUAUAAUUAUAUACAUAUAUAAUUAUAUUAAUUUUUAUUUAUUAUAAUUUAUUAUUCACUAUAAGUUAUAAAAUAGACAAUAAUAUCACUUUGGAGGUAAGUAUACCGGGGGUGGAGAGCUACACUUUUUACGUCAUUUACUUUCUACCAAACAAACAACAGAACUCGCAGAACUGCACUUCCACAGUUAAAAACAAACAGCAGAAGUGAACUAAUUUUCACCCCAACUCCACUUCAACCCAAAGUCCACUUCCACCCCAAGUCUACUUACGUUGAAACAAACAUGCCCUAAAGAGCGUAAAUUUUGUUUUCCU